rnacentral:rRNA from 1 species
UUUCUCGCUUUAGGUGUUAACGCUGGCUUCUGGCCACUAAACCCCCCCUAUUCCUAAUGGUUGACCUCGGAUC